CGGAUAUGAAAAUUGGCCCUUUGUAUCCACAGGGUCCACAUCCGCAGAGUAUCAUAUGCUCAAUCUGAGAUAUCUCUCCUACACCUAUGAUCAAGGAAUUACCACCAAAAGAGAGCAACAGCACAGGAGAAAUCUUCCAAACAUUGACGUUGGAAAGACAUGAAAGCCAUGACAUCAAAGAUUUUUACUUCAGGGAAAUCCAGGAAAAUAUGCAUGAUUUUGAUUAUCAGUGGUUUGAUAAAAGAAAUUACAAAGGAGUACCUAUAAUUCAAAAAGAACCCAUCACUGGUAGAAGAGAUCAACAUAAUAGAAGGGAUGCGGGAAAUAGGCCUGUUCAAAAUCAGCUUGAAUUAAACUUUCAGUCACAUCUGGCUGAAAUGCAGGAAUUUCAAACUGAAAGGAAGAUGCAUGAAUGUAAUCAAGUUGAGAAGUCUAUCAUCGAUGGUUCCUUAGUCUCUCCACUUCAAACAAUUCCUCCUAGUGUCAACAUUAACAUGUUUAAUAUAUAUGAGAAUGGUUUUAUGCAUCCUUUGUUACUCACACAAGACCAGAAAGCACAAAUUAGGAAAAAACCUUACAAAUGUAAUGAGUGUGGCAAGGCCUUUAAUCAGGGCUCUCACCUCACGAGACAUCAGAUAAUCCAUACUGGAGAGAAACCAUAUAAAUGUGAUGUAUGUGGCAAGGUUUUCAGUCAAAAUUCAAACUUAGCAAGUCAUCACAGAAUUCACACUGGAGAGAAACCUUACAAAUGUAAUGAGUGUGGCAAGGUCUUCAGUCAACAUUCACACCUCGAAAAUCAUCAGAGAAUUCAUACUGGAAAAAAACCUUACAAAUGUAAUGAGUGUGGCAAAGCCUUUAGUGUGCAUUCAAGCCUAACUAGACAUCAGGUAAUCCAUGCUGGAGAAAAACCUUAUAAAUGUAAUGAAUGUGGCAAGGCUUUUAUCCAAAGUUCAAAACUCGUAAAACAUCUCAGAAUUCACACUGGAGAGAAACCAUAUAAAUGUAAUGAAUGUGGUAAAACUUUUAUCCAAAAUUCAAGUCUGGUGGACCAUCAGAGAAUUCACACUGGAGAGAAACCAUAUAAAUGUAAUGAGUGUGGGAAAACCUUUAUUGUGCAUUCAAGCUUAACUACCCAUCAGGUAAUCCACACUGGAGAGAAACCUUACAAAUGUAAUGAAUGUGGAAAGGCUUUUAUCAAGCGUUCACACCUUAGGCAUCAUGAGAGUAUUCAUACUGGAGAGAAGCCAUACAAGUGUACUGAAUGUGGCAAGGCCUUUAGGCAAUGGGCUGACAUCAGGAUUCACCAAAGAAUUCAUGCUGGGGAGAAACCUUACAAAUGUGGUGAGUGCGGCAAAGCCUUUACUCAGGGCUCACACCUCAGUAAACAUCAGAUAAUCCAUACUGGAGAGAAACCAUAUAAAUGUGAUAUAUGUGGUAAGGUCUUCAGUCAAAAUUCACACCUUUCAAGUCAUCAAAGAAUUCACACUGGAGAGAAACCUUACAAAUGUAAUGAGUGUGGCAAGGCCUUCAGUGUGCGUUCAAGCCUAACAUACCAUCAAGUAAUCCAUACUGGAGAAAAGUCCUACAAAUGUAAUGAGUGUGAUAAGGCCUUUAUCAAGCAAUCCCAACUUAGACAUCAUGAGAAAAUUCAUACUGGAGAGAAGCCAUACAAAUGUAUUGAAUGUGGCAAGGCCUUUAGGAAAUGUUCUGACAUCACUAUUCACCAAAGAAUUCAUGCUGGAGAGAAACCUUACAAAUGUGAUGAGUGUGGCAAAGCCUUUACUCAGGGGUCCCACCUCACUACACAUCAUUUAAUCCAUACUGGAAAGAAACCAUUUGAAUGUGAUGAAUGUGGCAAGAUCUUCAGUCAAAAUUCACACCUUGAAAGUCAUCGAAGAAUCCAUACUGGGGAGAAGCCUUACAAAUGUGAUGUGUGUGGCAAGGUCUUUAGUCAAAAUUCACACCUUGUAAAUCAUCGGAGAAUUCACACUGGAGAGAAACCAUAUAAAUGUAGUGAGUGUGACAAAGCCUUUAGUGUCCUUUCAAGCUUAACUAAACAUCAGGUCAUCCAUACUGGAGAGAGACCUUACAAAUGUAACGAAUGUGGUAAGGCUUUUAGCAGGUCUUCACAUCUUAGGCUACAUGAGAAAAUUCACACUGGAGAGAAGCCAUACAAAUGUAUUGAAUGUGGUAAAGCCUUCAGACAAUGGUCUGACCUCAAGAUUCACCAAAGAAUUCAUUCUGGAGAGAAACCUUACAAAUGUGAUGAGUGUGGCAAAGCCUUUACUCGGGGCUCACACCUCACUAAUCAUCAGACAGUUCAUACUGGAGAGAACUUUACAAAUGUACUGAAGGUAGUAAGGCUUUUAAGCAUGGCCCUAAACUCAGGGUUCACCAAAUAAUUCAUAUUUACAAAUGUAAUGAAUAUAGUAAUGUUUUAAAGUAGUGUUCACUAUUAGAUAUAAGAAUAUAUUAAUACAUCUUGCUUGAAAAUCAAGUGUGUGAAGCUUAAGCAGUAUCUGGUGAAGUAAAUGAAAAUAAAAUGAUAAGAGAAAACGUCUGCAAGAUUCCUACUAUAGUUUGUGACAAGGAGAUAAUCUCUAUUGCCAAGUCCCUGCAGGCUCUUCUGCCAUUACUCAGUGACUGGGAUUCACAUCCAGAGUGAGAGGAUCUUGUGGGGAAACGUGAGAACUGCAAUUAAUUUGCCAGUAGUGACAAUGACACUACAUGCUUGAUGAGCUGAGAAUAUUUCUGAAAGACACCGUUCCCAUUGCUAAUGCUCAGAAACAACGACAAGUCUGUAAUGAACAUCACCAAAGAGAUACUUUGGCGUGUUUGGUAAGGGAUAUUUUAUUUUCAAGAUUCCUGAAGGCAGACGGGCUCACAUGGAGGAAACAGGUAAUGGUGAGGUCUUAACACCUGAUGGAUAGUGAUGCUGCAAACAUUUUCAUUCACCUGUUUGCUUUGUGUAUCUGCUUCAGUGAAAUGUCUCUUUAUGCUUUUGCCCUUUUUCUAAUGCGGUUUUUAAUAGACUAUUUUUUAGAGCAGUUUUAGGUUCACAAAAAAAAAAAUUAAGUAGAAGAUACAGGGAUUUCCCAUAUAUCCCCUGGCCCCAAACAUGCAUAGCCUCGAUCAUCAACAUACCCCACCAGAGUGGUACAUUUGUUGCAAUCAAUGAACACUGACAUAUAAUUAUCAUCCACAGUCCAUACUUUACAUUAGGGUUCACUAUUGUGUUGCACAGUCUAUGGAUUUGAAAAAAUGCAUGACAUCUUCACCAUUAUAGUAUCAUAUAGGGUACUUUCACUACUCUCAAAAUCCUCAGUGCUUCACCUAGAUUUGUCUUUCUCCUUUUAGUACUAUUGCCUGUUGCUUCACAUAAUUUGCAGCUCUUUUUUGGUACUUAAGCACUUAGGACUGGGAAGAUAUCUUUGGAAAUUAACCCUCUUAUCAUUAUGUAAUUUUCCUUUUUUUCCCUGGUAAUUUUGUUUUCUCAGACUUCUACUUUAUAUGAUAUGAAUAAAGACACUCUGCCUUCUUUUGUUUGAUGUUUGCAUGGUCUAAUUUUAUCCAUUGUAUUGACAUCAUGGAUCAGAAAAUUAUGUGUGUGAGGCUAUCCUAUGCACUGUAGGAUGUUUAGCAGCAUCCCUGGCCUCUACCUACUAGAUACCAGUGACACCACACCAGCUGUGACAAUCAAAAAUGUCUCCAGGCCAGGUGUGGUGGCUCACAUGUAU